rnacentral:rRNA from 1 species
AUGGUUGUCGAUGCCCUGGCAUCCAUCUUAGAUAAAGCUAAGGCCGCGGGGCAUAUCAAGGGCAUAGUACCGCACCUGGUUGGCGGGAAUGGGCUCUCCCUCCUCCAAUAUGCGGAUGACACCAUUAUAAUGGUAGAAGGCAGCGACAUCACGAACUUGAAGGUUCUCCUAUUCUGCUUUCAGCAGAUGUCUGGUCUCAGGAUUAACUUCGAUAAGAGUGCGGUGAUGGUCUUAGGCUAACCCCAAGAUGAACGCGAGAGCAUCGCGGACCAGCUUAACUGUCAGCUUGGGAGCUUCCCCACGACUUAUUUGGGGAUCCCCAUUAGUGACACGCGGCUCACGGUGUCCGAGCUGCGCCCUACGGUGGGCAAGCUCCAACACCGCAUCGAGCCUUGGCAGGGACGGUGGCUUUCUAAAGUUUCCCGGAUGGUGCUCAUUAACUCAUCCUUAUCUGCGCUCCUAUUCAUUAUGAGCUUCUACAGCCUGCUUGAGAUGCUACACCAUGAGAUUGCUAGAGUCCAUGGAUGCUUCUUUUGGGCUGGCGAGGGUGAUAAGCAGAAGUACCACAUGGUUCGGUGGACUGAGAUCUGCAAGCCUCGUGAUCAGGGCGGCCUUGGGAUCAUGUCCUCCAAACGCAUGAACAUUUCUCUACUUACUAGGUGGCUCUGGCGAAUUGCCAAUGAAGAGGGUGGCUUUGUUGGGGAACAUAGUAAUCUCAAAAGACUUCCUACGCAGAUGCAAGAUCAUGGUGAUGCAUAG